rnacentral:rRNA from 1 species
UAAAGCUACAAAGAGCUAAUGGAGAAUGCCUUGGUACUGACAGCCGAUGAAGGACGUGUAAAGCUGCGAAAAGCUUCGGGGAGUUGCUAAAAGACCUUGAUCCGAAGAAAUCCGAAUGGGGAAACCCUGCAAGGUUAAAACCUUGUAACCCGUAACUGAAUACAUAGGUUACGUGGAGGAAAGCCUGUGAACUGAAACAUCUUAGUAACAGGACGAAAAGAAAAUAACCAAAUGAUUCCGAGAGUAGCGGCGAGCGAAAUUGGAAGAGCCUAAACAGUAUGUACGUUAUAGACUGCAAUUGUUGUGCAUAUUGGGUUGUGGGACUUACGGUAUGAUUUGCAGGUCAUACAAAGAGUUACAAAAUUUAUUUAUAGCUAAAGACAACUGGGAAGUUGCGCCAUAGCGGGUGAUAGCCCCUUAAGCGACAUAAAUAGAUCUCUUGUAAGUAUCCCGAGUAAGGCGGGGCACGUGAAACCCUGUCUGAAUCCACCGGGACCAUCCGGUAAGGCUAAAUACUAGUCAGUGACCGAUAGUGAACGAGUACAGUGAUGGAAAGGCGAAAAGAACAGUGAGAAGCUGAGUGAAAUAGACCCUGAAACCGUUAGCUUACAAUCAGUCAGAGCACUAUAAAUAGUGUGAUGGCGUGCCUGUUGAAGAAUGAGCCGGCGAGUUAUCUUACGUUGCGAGGUUAAGGAGAUUAUAUCCGGAGCCAUAGCGAAAGCGAGUUUGAAAAGAGCGUUAAGUAACUUGAGAUAGACCCGAACCUUGGUGAUCUAACCAUGAUCAGGAUGAAGCGUGGGUAACACUACGUGGAGGUCCGAACCGACUGAUGUUGAAAAAUCAGCGGAUGAAUUGUGGUUAGGGGUGAAAUGCCAAUCGAACCAAGAGCUAGCUGGUUCUCCCCGAAAUGCGUUUAGGCACAGCGUUGAAUUUAUCUUGCAGGAGGUAGAGCACUGGUUUUGUGCGGGCGACGAAAUGUUGUACCAAACAAUGUCAAACUCCGAAUGCCUGUAAUGUUACUAUUCAGCAGUGAGGCUAUGAGUGAUAAGAUCCAUGGCCAAGAGGGAAACAGCCCAGAACGCCAGUUAAGGUCCCAAAUAUAUGCUAAGUGGUUAAGGAGGUAAAGUUGCUGAGACAACCAGGAGGUUGGCUUAGAAGCAGCCAUUCCUUGAAAGAGUGCGUAAUAGCUCACUGGUCAAGCGACUUCGCGCCGAAAAUACACCGGGACUCAAGCAUAUAACCGAAGCUGCGUCAUAUAGUUUACUAUAUGGGUAGGGGAGCGUUCUAUUGUAGAAUGAAGUAAGAUCGAAAGGACUUAUGGACGAAGUAGAAGUGAGAAUGUCGGCAUAAGUAGCGAAAACAUUGGUGAGAAUCCAAUGCACCGAAAACCUAAGGUUUCCCACGGCAGGCUCGUCCGCGUGGGGUUAGUCGGACCCUAAGCUGAGGCCGAAAGGCGUAAGCGAUGGACAUCAGGUUGAUAUUCCUGAACUAUCUAAUAAUCGUUAUUAGAUGCGGAGGGACGCAGUAGGAUAUGCAAGCAGCCGAACGGAAGUGGCUGUAAAGAUGUGUAGGUAGAUUAAGUAGGAAAAUCCGCUUAAUCGUUAUAAACUGAGGCAUCGAGUAGGACAUUCUACGGAAUGGAAGUUGCAGAUUCCACACUGCCAAGAAAAUCUUCGCAAUCGAGACUAUUAGGUAUCCGUACCGUAAACCGCCACAGGUAGGUUGGUAGAAAAUACUAAGGUGCGCGAGAUAACUCUCGCUAAGGAACUCGGCAAAAUCACCUCGUAACUUCGGGAGAAGAGGUACCCUGGUAGAGUGAAGCGGUUCACCCGUGGAGCUUGAUAGGGUCGCAGUGAAUUGGCCCAUGCGACUGUUUACCAAAAACACAGGUCUCUGCUAAGUCGAUCAAGACGAUGUAUAGGGGCUGACGCCUGCCCGGUGUCGGAAGGUUACGCGGACAUGUUAGACUUCGGUCGAAGCAUAGAAGCUAAGCCCCGAUGAACGGCGGCCGUAACUAUAACGGUCCUAAGGUAGCGAAAUUCCUUGUCAGGUA